rnacentral:rRNA from 1 species
UACGAAGGGGGCUAGCGUUGUUCGGAAUUACUGGGCGUAAAGCGCGCGCAGGCGGUUCUCCAAGUCAGUGGUGAAAGCCCGGAGCUCAACUCCGGAAUUGCCAUUGAAACUGUAGAACUUGAGGACGAGAGAGGUGAGUGGAAUUCCCAGUGUAGAGGUGAAAUUCGUAGAUAUUGGGAAGAACACCGGUGGCGAAGGCGGCGACCUGGUCCUUAACUGACGCUGAGGCGCGAAAGCGUGGGGAGCAAACAGG